rnacentral:rRNA from 1 species
UCUGGUGAUGAUGGCGGAGGGGACACACGCGUACCCAUCCCGAACACGACCGUUAAGCCCUCCAGCGCCGAUGGUACUUGGACCGAAGGGUCCUGGGAGAGUAGGACGUUGCCAGGC